rnacentral:lncRNA from 1 species
ACCAUCCAGACCAGGAAGUUCAUGACCAACCGACUGCUUCAGAGGAAACAGAUGGUCAUUGAUGUCCUUCAUCCUGGGAAGGCAACAGUACCAAAGACCGAAAUUCGGUAAAAGCUGGCCAAAAUGUACAAAACCACACCAGAUGUCAUCUUUGUAUUUGAAUUCAGAACCCACUUCGGUGGUGGCAAGACCACUGGCUUUGGCAUGAUCUAUGAUCCUUUAGAUUAUGCAAAGAAGAAUGAGCCUAAAUGCAGACUCGCAAGACAUGGUCUUUAUGAGAAGAAAAAGACCUCCUGAAAACAGCGAAAGGAACGCAAGCAAGAACAGAAUGAAGAAGGUCAGGGGCACGGCGAAGGCCAAUGUUGGUGCUGGCAAAAAGAAAUGA